UAUGAAACUUAAAAACAACACUACUAGUCGAACAAUGCCCUAUACCUUGUGCGGUUGUGUGAGUGCAGCCUGUUGAAAUCCUUGCUUAGUGUAUACUAAGUUGAUCUUCUGUAUAUGAAGGCCUCCCUCAUGCCACAGAGACUGAAGUAGAACUCCCCUUACCCAGAACAUCAACCAGGAAGCAGACACAAGGAGACCUUCUCUGAUUAAAGGAGUGAGGGCCAGAAACUUGGCAGCUCCAUCUCCCCGAAGACCAUCCCCAACCCAGAGCCAAACAUCUGGCCAACAGAACUGUGACCUGCUCAGAAUCAUGAACCUAAUGCUCAUACAAGAUGGCUUCAAAACAUUACUGGGAAAAUGGAAUUGAAAGAUAAGUUUAGGGCCAGCACCAUGGCGUAGCAGGUUAAGCUUCCUCCUGCAGCACCGGCAUCAGAUAUGGGCGCCAGUUCACGUCCCAGCUGCUCCUCUUCGGAUCCAGCUCUCUGCUAUUGGUCUAGGAAAGCAGUGGAAGAUGUCCCAAGUGCUUGGGCCCCUGCUACCCACGUGAGAGAACUGGAAGACGCUCCUGGCUCCUGGUUUGGCCUAGCCCAGCCCGACUAUUGCAGCCAUGUGGGGAGUGAACCAGUGGAUGGAAAAUUUCUCUCUCUCCCUCUCUUUCUG